GUGCCCACCUCAGCAGCAUGUAUACUAAAAUUGGAACGAUGCAGAGAACAUUAGCAUAACCCCUGUGCAGGGAUGGCACCCAAAUUCUUGAAGCCUUCAUAUUUUUA